rnacentral:sRNA from 1 species
GCCAGGCAUGGUGGUGCAUGCCUGUAAUCCCAGCUACUCGGGAGGCUGAGGCAGGAGAAUCGCUUGACCCCAGGAGGUGGAGGUUGCAGUGAGCCAAGAUGGCGCCACUGUACUCCAGCCUGGGUAACAGAGUGAGACUCUGUCCCCU